GACGAACGCUGGCGGCGUGCUUAACACAUGCAAGUCGAACGAAGAGCGAUGGAAGCUUGCUUCUAUCAAUCUUAGUGGCGAACGGGUGAGUAACGCGUAAUCAACCUGCCCUUCAGAGGGGGACAACAGUUGGAAACGACUGCUAAUACCGCAUACGAUCUAAUCGCGGCAUCGAGGAAAGAUGAAAGGUGGCCUCUAUUCAUAAGCUAUCACUGAAGGAGGGGAUUGCGGCUGAUUAGCUAGUUGGAGGGGAAACGGCCCAACAAGGCGAUGGUCAGUAGCCCGUCUGGGGGGAUGGACGGCCACCUUUGGACCGGGGCACCGCCCAGGCUCCUAACGGGGGCAGCCGUGGGGGAUCUUCCGCAAUGGACGAAAGUCUGACGGGGCAACGCCGCGUGGGUGAUGGCGGGCUUCGGGUUGUUAAGCUCUGUUUAUCGGGACGAAAGGCCUUCUUGCGAAAAGUUAGAAGGAUUGACGGUACCGGAAUAGAAAGCCACGGCUAACUACGUG
rnacentral:rRNA from 1 species